UAAUACGUAGGGGGCUAGCGUUGUCCGGAAUCAUUGGGCGUAAAGAGCGCGUAGGCGGCUGGAAUAGUCCGGUGUGAAAUCCACAGGCUUAACCUGUGAAUGCCGCUGGAAACUGUCUGGCUAGAGUCCGGAAGGGGCGAGUGGAAUUCCUGGUGUAGCGGUGAAAUGCGCAGAUAUCAGGAGGAACACCAAUGGCGAAGGCAGCUCGCUGGGACGGUACUGACGCUGAGGCGCGAAAGCGUGGGGAGCGAACAGGAUUAGAUACCCUGGUAGUCCACGCCGUAAACGAUGGGCACUAGGUGUGGGAGGUGUCGACUCCUCCCGUGCCGUAGCUAACGCACUAAGUGCCCCGCCUGGGGAGUACGGCCGCAAGGCUA
rnacentral:rRNA from 1 species